AGUGAACGCUGGCGGCGUGCUUAACACAUGCAAGUCGAACGAGAACGGGCUAUAGCUUGCUAUAGUUGUCAGCUAAGUGGCGCACGGGUGAGUAAUGUAUAGGCAAUAUGCCUCUUACUAAGGGAUAACAAAUGGAAACGUUUGCUAAUACCUUAUACUCCUUAUUAACAGAAGUUAAUAAGGGAAAGAUUUAUUGGUAAGAGAUUAGCCUGUAUUGUAUCAGUUAGUUGGUGGGGUAAUGGCUUACCAAGACUAUGACACAUAACUGGUUUGAGAGGAUGAUCAGUCACACUGGAACUGAGACACGGUCCAGACUCCUACGGGAGGCAGCAGUGGGGAAUAUUGCACAAUGGACGAAAGUCUGAUGCAGCAACGCCGCGUGGAGGAUGACACAUUUCGGUGCGUAAACUCCUUUUAUAUGAGAAGAUAAUGACGGUAUUAUAUGAAUAAGCACCGGCUAACUCCGUGCCAGCCGCCGCGACAC
rnacentral:rRNA from 1 species